GCGUAAAGGGKUGCGCAGGCGGCCCGUGUGUGUCAGAUGUGAAAGCCCGGGGCUUAACCCCSGGAAUUGCGUCUGAAACUACAUGGCUAGAGCAUUGGAGAGGGUAGCAGAAUUCAUGGUGUAGCAGUGAAAUGCGUAGAUAUCAUGAGGGAUACCAGAGGCGAAGGCGGCUACCUGGACAAUUGCUGACGCUCAGGCACGAAAGCGUGGGGAGCAAAAGGGAUUAGAUACCCCUGUAGUCCACGCCCUAAACGGUGCACACUAGGUCUUGGCGGAUUCGACCCCCCCAGGGCCCAAGCUAACGCGUUAAGUGUGCCGCCUGAGGACUACGGCCGCAAGGCUAAAACUCAAAGGAAUUGACGGGGGCCCGCACAAGCGGUGGAGCAUGUGGCUCAAUUCGAUGCAACGCGAAGAACCUUACCUGGCCUUGACAUGCACUAGACAGACGCUGAAAGGCGUUCUCCCUUCGGGGCUGGUGCACAGGUGCUGCAUGGCUGUCGUCAGCUCGUGUCGUGAGAUGUUGCGUUAAGUCGCGCAACGAGCGCAACCCCUGUCCUUAGUUGCCAUCAUUAAGUUGGGCACUCUAAGGAGACAAACCCUCUCUGAGGGUGGGAAGGUGGGGAUGACGUCAAGUCAGGAUGGCCCUUACGGCCAGGGCUGCACACGUGCUACAAUGCACGAUACAGAGGGAAGCUACUCCGCGAGGAGAUGCAAAUCCCAAAAAUCGUGCCCAGUUCAGAUUGUAGUCUGCAACUCGACUACAUGAAGUUGGAAUCGCUAGUAAUGGCGCAUCAGCUACGGCGCCGUGAAUACGUUCCCGGGCCUUGUACACACCGCCCGUCACGUCAUGAAAGCCGGUUUCGCCCGAAGUGCAUUUGCCAACCAGCAAUGGAAGCGAUGCCCUAAGGUGAAGCUGGUGAUUGGGACGAAGUSGUAACAAGGUAGC
rnacentral:rRNA from 1 species